rnacentral:rRNA from 1 species
CCUACGGGUGGCUGCAGUGAGGAAUAUUGGUCAAUGGGCGCGAGCCUGAACCAGCCAAGUAGCGUGAAGGAUGACUGCCCUACGGUUUGUAAACUUCUUUUAUAAAGGAAUAAAGUGAGGCCCGUGUGCCUUUUUGUCUGUACUUUAUGAAUAAGGAUCGGCUAACUCCGUGCCCGCAGCCGCGUUAAUACGGAGGAUCCGAGCUUUAUCCGGAUUUAUUGGGUUUAAAGGGAGCGUAGAUGGGUUGUUAAGUCAGUUUUGAAAGUUUGCGGCUCAACCGUAAAAUUGCAAUUGAUACUGGCAGCCUUGAGUACAGUUGAGGUAGGCGGAAUUCGUGGUGUAGCGGUGAAAUGCGUAGAUAUCACGAAGAACUCCGAUUGCGAAGGCAGCCUACUAAACUGCCACUGACAUUGAUGCUCGAAAGUGUGGGUAUCAAACAGGAUUAGAUACCCCAGUAGUC